rnacentral:rRNA from 1 species
UGUUUAUUGAAUAUAAAGAAAAGACGAACAGCUCAGUAACUCUUAUUUUAUUUGAUGUAUUAGGAUUAUAACUAUGUUAAAUUAUAGAUAACAAUAAUACAAUAAGAAUAAGAUCUAUCAGUUAGUUGUUAAGGUAAUGGCUUAACAAGACUAUGACGGAUAACGGUAUUACUUUGUAAUAUUCCGGAGAAGGAGCCUGAGAGAUUGCUACUAAGUCUAAGGAUUGCAGCAGGGGCGAAACUUGACCUAUGAUAUGAUAUUGAGGCAGUUAUGAGUAGUAUUUUUAAUUAUUGUAGUAUUGUAAGUAUAUACUACAAGAUAAAUCGGAGGGCAAAUCGAGUGCCAGCAGCCGCGGUAAUACUUGUUCCGAUAGUGUGUAUGAUGAUUGAUGCAGUUAAAAAGUCUGUAGUUUAUUAUUAAUAAGCAUUGUGAGGUAUAUUGUAUGGUUAGGAGAGAGAUGAAAUGUGAUAACCCUAACUGGAUGAACAGAAGCGAAAGCUAUAUACUUAAAUGUUUUAUUAGAACAAGGACGUAAGCUAGAGGAUCGAAGAUGAUUAGAUACCAUUGUAGUUCUAGCAGUAAACUAUGUUAAAUCAUAGAUACAUUAUUAAUAUGUAUUUAUGUAAAGAAAUUAAGAUUAUAUUGACUCUGGGGAUAGUAUGAUCGCAAGAUUGAAAAUUAAAGAAAUUGACGGAAGAAUACCACAAGGAGUGGAUUGUGCGGCUUA